AAAAUCUAAAAUUGUAUACGAGCAAGUGAUUUUUCAUUUUCAGUUCAACUUUUUUGGUGGAAAAAUAUUUAUUUUUCACCAGAAGUAUUUAUUUAGAUUUGUAUUCCAAAUUACUGUUAUAUAAUAUCCCAACUGAUAUUACUGUUUUUGACUUUUUGUCUUUUUAGGUCAUUGGUAUUUUAAUUUAUUGUUGUAUGAAAAGGUAAGUGUAACUAUACAAUGCAUUUAUGACAACUACAUUAUGUGUACAUUAUCAGAUUAAUUAUAUCACAUGUAAGGUCAACUGUAUAUACACACAUGUAUAUACAGUGCUGCUUGAAAGUUUGUGCGACCUAUAGGGAUAGUCAUUAUUUUUUCCAUAAAAUGUAGUUAUAAAAUCAUCUCAGAUUUUUGUAGAUGAUUGUAUAGCCUUCCCCAGACUGAAUGCUCUCAAUUCCCUCUUCCUGAUCUCCUCUGAGAUCUCCUUUCCUCUCAGCAUGGUGUGUUUCACAUUCAGUUGUAUGAGUAACACCAAACUGAUCUCUAUUCAUCCCACCCAAACUCUUUCCUAAAGAUCUCUCUUUUGAUUGGUUAAUUUGGUACCCAAUUAUUUACCCACCUGAUUCUACUUACCAACUUGAUUUAACUAAUGCAACUUGGGGUUCACUUAUUUUUGAACCUACACUGACUCCUUUUGUUUUUCUACUACAUGCAUGAUUAACUCAGGUUCUUACAGUAUUAAAUAAAGAUUUCAUUAUAAAAAGAAAAUCUAUAAUUGCACAGGGGGUUCACAUACAUUCAAGCAGCACUGUACACACACACACACACUCAAAUACACACACUGAUGCACAUCUACAUAUAUAUACACUCAUAUACACACACAUAAAGCUUUGCAUCAAUAAACUAUUGUCUGUUUCCCAGACUAUCGUGUCCUGGAGGUCAAAACAGCAGGGCACAGUCUGAUGGUACGUGAUGGGGGUAAGGAUGAAGGGUGAAUAAAUUCUUGAAGUAACGUGUCGGUUCCCUUCAUCUUUCCUUGUAUUGCUUGUAUGGCAUGCUGCUGUAUUAAUCACAGGCUAUUUAAAACUGUGCUGUAGUAGUAAAAAGGCCAAUAGGACGCUGGGAUAUAUAGCCAAAAGUAAAUCCAAAAGAUCCAAAAAAUCCAAGGAAGUUAUACCUAUCUUAUACAAUACAUUUGUUAGACCAUACAUUUAGUAUUGUGUACAGUUCUGGGGACCAUACAACAAGAAAAAUACAGAUGCUCUGGAAAAGGUUCAAAGAAGAGCAACCAAAUUGAUUCCUGGUAUGAAAGAUAAGAGCUACGAGGAAAGACUUAAAAUGCUUAAUCUCUUCAAGCUUAGUAAAAUGAGACUUAGGGGUUAUUUGAUUGAGGCUUUAAAUUUCAUAAAGGGGAUCAACAAAGUGAUUCUUCAGGUCGAGUUCUGUCACAUUAAUGAAAAUUAUCAAAAGGUCAAUUCUGUACAGACAUUAGGAAGGAAUUUUUCACACAGAGUAGUCAAUGUGUGGAAUAGCCUGCCAGGUCAUGUAGUUGAGGCAGAAACUUUGGGGAUUUUCAAGACUAGGCUUGAUACGGUGUUAGAUACUAUCUAGUCUGUAGGUAAUCAGAGCGCUAAUUUAGUCAGGAAAAUGGCGAGCAUUGUUGGGCUAAAUGGCCUCUUCUCAUCAUUUAUGUUAUGCUCACUAUACGGUGAUGAGAUUUAUGAUAGCGUUUCCUCAGUUCCUGUUUUAUUGAAUCUACACAAUCAUUUAGCGCUUUGUGUAUGAAAUCGGGAGGGGGGGUUUGUUGUAUUGUGUGAAUCACUUUGUGUUACAUUUAACUUGUAUGAAAAGUGCUAUACAAAUGAAGUCUGAUUGAUUGAUUGAUGCUAUGUUAUGUUAAAACGUAUUAAGAAUUAUAAAUAAGAGUUUGUUUUCAUACCAAAUAAAACAACUGCUUAUUAAGUGUUUAUUAUUCAGUUUCCUGUUUGGUUAAGAAUACUGCAGCAUGUCAGCUAACUUUAAUAGGUUAUUCCAUUAACAUGUUUCAAUGUUGGUACAUUUGUAAUAUGUAAGUUAAUUUGUCAAAAUGCCAAGUUGUGCUGUUUACAAGUGUACUGUUCAGGCUGAAUCUCGGCGAUGCACCUUCUCAGGUAGCUAAAUGCGGGACAGCCGUGUGAAGCUGCAGUAUUGUUACAGAAUUCCUUUAAUAUCUGAGCUCAGUUGUUUAAUAAAAUAGUAUGCCUAUAGUAACGUACCCCAUAGUAGCAAGGCCUGACGUGUUAACAUUGUGUUUCUAACCUUGUAUUGUGAAUAUUGCAUUAGCGCCUUUUAUUGUUUUGGCCAAUUCCAUUAUAACUUGCCUACAAAAACAAUAUACAGCAAAAUGCACAUACUGAUCUGUUUUGCUGUCUCUGUAGGCUCAAUACUUUUCACUACUCUCCUCCUUUCCUCAACUCCCCCCAUUUCCACUCUUUUCCGACCUGGAAGUAUGUGGAGGAAAGGAGGGGAGCAGAUGAGUUUGAAGCCGCUUUGCCAAUGCAGUUCUGUGCGCUUUGCUCAUCUCCUCCAAUAUUGGGACACUGGAGGGAGGGAGGGAGGGAGGGUGCAAAGAUCGGUUUCUGAGGCAUGGUGGAGACGAGGAAGCAGUGGAGGAAAGGAGGAUGCAUUUUUUGAGUAUCGGGACGCACCCGUAUAGGCUCUCUAAUUAGCCGUCGCUGCACUUCGCUGCGAUGUUGUGGUUGCCAGGUUUUGUAUGAAUAGGCUGUUUUCUUCUGCGAGGUAGAAGAUUUGGUCGGCUGAGUGAGUAUAGAUAAUUUUAGCUUUUGGAUGAUGCUGACAAGUUCGGGCGGUUGCUAAUGUCAGUUUUAAAGAAACACACUGUUUGACGUGGUCCAAAAAUACUUUUUUCCAUAUUGUAGCAUUGUUUGCAAUCUUAACGCGGAUACAUGAGCGUAUCAUUGUCAGUCUUGCUAAUAUGAAAACCUGUGGUGUUGAUAACCUGUGGUGAAGGGGGUUGGGCUUCACGUAGCCUUCUCACAUCACUGCUCUGCGUUGUGCUCAUUGUAAACAUGAUUAGCACUGUGACUGAGGACACAACUGAGCUUGUCUGCUGAGAAAAAAAAUGAUACUUCCUGGUUCUGACAUUUUCUGUUUUUUUGUUUUGUUUUUUGUUUUGUUUUACUGGUUUUGGUGUGCUCGCCGUGGGCCUCAGUAGUCUGACGUAAUGCAGAGCGGAACCUUUAACUGGGACCAUUGCUUUUCCUCCUUUCCCCAGAACCAAAUGGAGGCGAAGACAGUGGAGACGUCUCAAUUCCCCUCCGACGACGAUCGCCACGCUCAACAGAUGAUUGUGCACCAGAACCAGGAAAUUAAGGGCUAGACCAAAGUCCAAGACCAGGAAAAGUCCAAAUCAAGCCAUGACCAAGUCAAGUUUGAGACAGAAAAUAGUCAAAUCCUCUUCAAGACUAAGACUAAGACUAAAAUCCAACUGGUUCUAGUCCAAAUUUGUUCAUUUCUUUUCUUUUUUAAAUGGAAAACAGUUUGCCUUACAUAAUUGCAAACAAAGGUGCAAAAUGAGGGUUUAAAAAACACAUCCACUUUGUCUUUCAUUUCUGUCUGGAAAAAUUUACAAAUGUGUUGCUUGAAUGAAAACUAGUUUUACCAGCAACACAGGAAUAUUUUCCUUGACAGAUACAAACUGUUAGAAUCAUUAAAUGUGCUUCACUCUUCACAUGUUCCAAGUAGUAAUAAUGGGCUAGUUAGUUAAUAAUGGGUUAGUUAAUUAAUAAUGGGUUAGUUAGAUAAUAAUGGGUCAGUUAGUUAAUAAUGGGUUAGUAUAAAUAUGUAAUUCUGUAUCACUCUUUUAAAGAAUGAAGAGAGGAGUACUUUGACAUUUUUAAUGUAAAAAAGCAGUCCUUGUAAACAGCGAGACUUGGCUUUGUGUGAUGCCCUCUGUAAACUAUAGCUUGUUAUUACGUCUGUUUAAAUAAAUUACAUGUAAUUCUAGCUUUGACAUUUCUCUGUCCAGUCGUAUAAAUAUCUUGAUGUUGAUUCCUGCUAGUUUUACUUCUGCCAGGUUGCUGUCCAUAAUAUUAAUAAAAAGGUUUAUGUCUGUUUUUAUUUCUAUGAAGUUGGAUUUGGUACAUGCUGUAGCCUACAUUGCAAGUUUUUGAUGGAGUGCCUGUUGUCAGUGACAAUGUGUAGCUACAGGGCAAGCAGCACUCUGUUGUAGUCUGUAUUAGUAUCUGUUUGCUGUUAGUGUUUGUUUUGUGUUUCUGUGGGUUUAUUGUUUUUCACAUCCUCCGUCCCAGUGUUUUCAUUCUCCCGGUCACUUGUCUCCCCAGUGCCGUCUCUGUGUCUGUGUUCCCUGAGCUGCUUCACUCCCCUGUAUUUGCGUGAUUUCACUAUUCGGGUGGUUCCGGGUUUUCGUGGUUUCCCCCCUUCUUUCCAGUCGUUUAACUUCCGCUUAUAUCUAGUUUUACUAAUUUCUACUAAUCCUUACUAACGUAUAGAUUGUAAAGUACUAACCUCAUUAAUAUACUAACGUGAAUAUUACUAAUGGAUUAACAAACACUAGUUUUGGGUUUUUGAUUGGUUAAUGUAUUAGUAUAGUGAUUUAAACUUUCUCCCCUUUUCCUGCUAAACCCAGGCCGUCUGUUAUCAUUGUUGUCUAUGUGAUUCCAGUCCACGUUGUCAGUCCCCUGUCAUUUAAUUAGUUAUCCUAAAGUUCUUCACCUGGAUUUCGUUUGUUACUCCACCCUCACUCAUGUAACCCCUCCUUGAUUGUUACCUUCUCCAGUGUAUAAAUGUCAGUAUUUUCCACCAGCUCCCUGUCAGAACGUUGAUUGUAUUCACUGUGCCGAUGUGUUGUAAGCCUUUGUUUAUCGAGAUUCCUGUGACACCCUUUCCGUACAACUUCGAGUUUGCCUGCCCCCUUUGUUUGAUUGCUUUCUGGUUUGACCUUCGCUUUGACUUCUCUUUUGCUUGUUCCUUUGUACCUUCGCCUAUCUGAUCUCCUGGUUUUUGAUUUUUUGCCCGUUUACCACUAUUCUUUUGGAAACUUGAUAUUGUACCGUCCUAUCUCUGAUUAUCUGGCUUUGAACUUUGGACUGAAUAAAGACAACGUUUUUUG